UGUCAUGUUUACAAGGUCUUCAGAAUAAGC
rnacentral:piRNA from 1 species